AGUUCUUUUUAACAUUUUGAUUUCAGUGCUCCCAAGAAAAAAGAAUUUGGUUAUCUGGCAAUGGUUGUUGCAAAAAUUAACUAAAAAGGAUGCUUUGCUAAAAGGAGAACCAAAUGGCAACGUGGAAUGUUCUUUGAGACAAGAGCCAGAAGUCUUACAUGAGUCGAUGCAUUUUAGCUCUGAGUCCAUGGACUACCUACGGCACACAUCCCUCAUGAAAAACACUUCAAAUGAUCAAACAAUUUAGCUACUCUGGAGAGACUGUUGACAUCUUACCCUGACAGGCUCAUCGAAAUCAAACUCCCCUCCUAACCAGGUAUUCUUUUUUUUAACCCCUGAAAUUUAUUUAUGUCUACUUGAUCUUAAAAAAUGAUACUUUAGGAGUUCCCGCUGUGGCACAGUGGGUUAAGAAUCCAACUGUAGCAGCUCAGGUCACUGCUGAAGUACAGGUUCAACCCCUGGCCCAGCAUAAUGGUUUAAAGGAUCCAGUGUUGCUGCAGCUGCAGAGUAGGUCACAGUUGUGGCUGGAAUUCAGUCCUUGACCCAGGAACUUCCACAUGCCACGGGUGUGGCCAUUAGAGAAGAUUCUUUUGUUUGCAUCCUUGGUAUUUAGUCAAUAGAGAGUGAUCUUAAAUCACUAAUAGAAAAGAAUAUCACUAUCAUAUCAAAGAAUAUGAUAAAUUCAUGGAAUAAUAUGUUUUAAUUGCUCCUUAACAUUUAUGACAACAUGGUUCUACACCCACAGAACAAAAAAUUAGCUAGAUUGAAAAUAUAUGUAAUUUUAUUUUAUUUUUAUUUUUUAGGGCUGUACCUGUGGCAUAUGGAGGUUCCCAGGCUAGGAGUCAAAUCGUAACUAUAGCUGCUGGCCUACAUCACAGCCACAGCAAUGCCAGAUCCAAGCCACAUCUGCAACCAACACUGCAGCUCGUGGCAAUGCCAGAUCCUUAACUCACUGAGCGAGGCCAGGGAUCAAACCCGCGUUCUCAUGGAUGCUAGUCAGAUUCGUUAACUGCUGAGCCACGAUGGGAGCUCCCCCUAAUUUUAAAAUUCAAUACUAAAAUAGGCAAAUUAGCACUAGUUUAAGACCUCAUCUUCUGCAAAUGCAUGACUUUCCAUUCAUUUAGCAACUCUUCUCAAACACUGUUAGUUGCACAGGAGAUGACCUCGUCUACUUUGAGUUCAGUUUUAUAUAAUAGUACAAAACAAUCUUUUAAAUAGUUUUCCAAACUAAAGAUGAUGCACUUUUAUGGACUCAGAGGCUAGGGUUAUCAAACAAAAAAAUCCGUUUUAAAGUAGAUGAAGUGAAAAUCUCUGGUCAAUGAGUAUUUAUCUAAUGGCUUUUAAUUAUUGAGAUAUUUUCCCUUUUGUUUUCUAAAUUCUGUUUGGUAACCAUUUGCAUUUGCUCUUGGAAAAUCACAAGUUAGAUUUUCUUUGACAAGUAUGUGUGGAGUAUGUAUUUUGCACUACCCUUCCUGCAGCAACAUCCUUUUGUCCAUCUGUAUUAAGAUGGCAGCUAGAAGAUUUAAAGUAGGUAAGAGGAAGAACCAAACUGAUGAGAGAAAUUCCUUUGAGGCUACUGGGAUAUUCUAGCUGUUGGACUAAGAGAGUUGGUACAGCCCUUAAGAGGGGAAACUAUGCCUCAUGAAAGGGCAUGACUGUGUGGGACAAUGAGUUGAUUGGGCUACAAGAUUAUGUGAUUACUCCUAUUUGCUGAUUUAUGUCUGUCACAGAAUCUACCACAUAUUGAUUUUCUUCACUCUCAGGUCCCUUGGGUCUCUGGCUCUAUCCUUUCUAUUUUCUUACUAUAGUGGUAUACUGCUGACUAGCACUGUUUAUCCCUUUCUCUGUGCCUGGCGCUAUAUUAAGCAAACUUCAGAAACAACCUCAUUUGAUCCUCACAACAGCCCUAUAUGACUUGCUUUAUUUUCAAUCUUUUACUGAUUGAGGGAACUGAGGCCUAGUGAGGAUAAGUACAUAUUCCAAAGAUAAUAUGGCCAAUAGGUAUUUAAACCAGAUCAGCAAUCUGGAGACUUUGCCUCUAAACACUAAAUGCUACUGCCUAGGUAAUGACCUCCAGCUUUCCAUCUCUGAAUACCUAUCAGAGUUUUCUCCACCAGGAGUAGAAAUUAUUGCCACAUGUUUCCACAUUCUGUGAAGGAUCCAGUAAACUUAUCCCAUGGCUGACAACAGAUCUAAAACCUAUUUACCAGUGGAAAUCCCAUAUUUUUCUGUGGGAACUUAGAGAAAAAGAAUAAAACGAACCUUUGUGCUGUUUUUGGUGUUUGGUAGGAGCUCUUCAGAUGGAGAAAGGGGGCCAAUUACUGGAGAUAAAUAUUGGGAAGGAGGUAAAGACAAGCAAAGAAAAAUAGAGUAAACAAUAGCCAAUAUUCUGCUUUCUCAUUUCUUCUUAAUUGGGAGCUCCUAAAAUUCAAAGUCUAUUACAAACCAAUUCCUAGUCACAUGGAUCCCAGGUGUAUCUGACAGGUGUCAGGUCAGGAAAAGAAUCAUUUUCAUGACUCCAGUAGCCUAAGUAAAUCACUUAGGUAACUCCAAGUCUCCACCUCUAGGAUAUCUUUAUUAUCUUUCAUUAAAUCAAUAUCUUCCACCCCAAAAGACCUGCUCAAUAAAUGAAAUGAUAUGUUCUUUCUACACUAAGGAAAGGGUGUGAUGAUUGCAACAAAUAGUGGAGUCAAGUGUGGAAGGAAAACUCAGGCAAUGCCCCCAGGGGUGUCCCAUCAAGUUGAAAAGAACAUAGGACAUCUCUUGUCCCCUGCUUCAUAGUCAUUUGGCUCACUUUUUUUUUUUUUCCUGAGCACUGCUGCAGCAGUGAGUUUUCAGAGGUGUAACCUGACAACACGAUAUAUCUGUCAUUUUUGGCUUGGAUCUGGGGUGCAGCAUCAUGGAAUGGAUGUGAGCACUUAUUCCCUCUCUAGCAGGCAUAUUUUGACUGACAGCAGAAGGAAUCUGAUCCUUUCUCUCACAAAAGAAGAGACUUUGAGGUGUCUGUCUCCUACUCCUCAGAAGGUCUUGGCUGGGUAGAGCUUCAGUUGCCCAACACAGAAAUCAAUGUAGCAUUUUACCAAGGAGUGGCUCUCCCUCCUUUUCUGUUUCACUCUAUAGUCCCUUCUUUCUUUUCUCUCAUCUUGCUUUCCUAUAACUAUCUCUAUGAAAGCCUUGUCUCAGUUUCUGCCUUCAGGAGCAUCUCAGGCUAACACAAAAGCAU
rnacentral:lncRNA from 9 species